rnacentral:lncRNA from 1 species
ACAUUUGCAUACGCAUAAAUGACAAUAUAUUUAAGGGGCAAUUGCUUAUAUACCCCUGAAAAAUUUCCGACUUUCCGAUUUACUCCUCUUAGAAGACUAAUAUUGAAAAUGCUCUUUCUAUGUUCCAACCUAUUUCUAAUAUACCUCUAGAGUUAAAAUCCGUUAAUGAACUCUGUUAUCUCUGUAAAAUUACUAUUUUGUCCUUUCAAAUAUACUCUUCCACCAUCACCGACUUUCUUAUUUGCCUUUAAAUUCAGGGGCACAAAAAGUAUUUUGACUUUUGGUAUUUUUCAAUAUUCCCCUCUACCGUCACUAACAUUUCUUAUUUGCCCUUAAAUUGAGGGCAAAAUUGGUAUUUUAAUUUUUUUAACUGUCGUAAAUAUUUAACUCACGUUUAACCCAAGUUAACUUAACAGGAGAUAACUACGGAGGUAUUUUGCAAUAAUGGUGGAAUAUAUGAGGGGUAUUUUAAAAAGAAAAAAAAGUAUGGAUAAAUCGAAUAUUUUCAAACGUACGAGGGGUAUAUAGGCAAUUCUCCCUAUAUUUUUAAACUAGUACAGUGGUUGUUAUUCUCAGAUUGUCGACCUUCAAAUCAAGGAUUUGAUUUGAUAUGUAUGAGGGAUUUGAUAUAUUUAUUCUUUAGAAAAAAAAUGCUGGUCUUGCUGUGCCAAAGAGGUCCUGUAUGAAUAUAUGAAUAUCUUACUCGGUAUGUCUUUUUUGUAUUGAAAGUGCUUAAUGAAUGAACGAAGAGGACGACAAAACUUACAAUGACUAACUUAAAUUCGACCUUCAA